AUACGGAGGGGGUUAGCGUUGUUCGGAAUUACUGGGCGUAAGGCGCACGUAGGCGGACUGGAAAGUUGGGGGUGAAAUCCCGGGGCUCAACCCCGGAACUGCCUCCAAAACUUCCAAUCUAGAGAUCGAGAGAGGUGAGUGGAAUUCCAAGUGUAGAGGUGAAAUUCGUAGAUAUUUGGAGGAACACCAGUGGCGAAGGCGGCUCACUGGCUCGAUACUGACGCUGAGGUGCGAAAGCGUGGGGAGCAAACAGGAUUAGAAACCCUAGUAGUCC
rnacentral:rRNA from 1 species